rnacentral:misc_RNA from 1 species
UUUCCGUAGGUGAACCUGCGGAAGGAUCAUUAUUGUAUAACCGAGGUGCGAGGGCUGUCGCUGACCCGAAAGGUCGUGCACGCUCGAGUGCCCUCACACACAUCCAUCUCACCCCUAUGUGCACCACCGCGUGGGUCCCCCUUUGGCUUGUUCGGAGGGGGGCUUACGUUUUCACACAAACUUUGUAUGCAGUGUAGAAUGUAUUUUUUGUUUUUGCGAUCACGCAAUCAAUACAACUUUCAACAACGGAUCUCUUGGCUCUC